UGAGUAACACGUAUCCAACCUGCCGUCUACUCUUGGACAGCCUUCUGAAAGGAAGAUUAAUCCAGGAUGGCAUCAUGAGUUCACAUGUCCGCAUGAUUAAAGGUAUUUUCCGGUAGACGAUGGGGAUGCGUUCCAUUAGAUAGUAGGCGGGUUAACGGCCCACCUAGUCUUCGAUGGAUAGGGGUUCUGAGAGGAAGGUCCCCCACAUUGGAACUGAGACACGGUCCAA
rnacentral:rRNA from 1 species